AGUGAACGCUGGCGGUAGGCCUAACACAUGCAAGUCGAACGGCAGCACAGUAAGAGCUUGCUCUUACGGGUGGCGAGUGGCGGACGGGUGAGGAAUACAUCGGAAUCUACUUUUUCGUGGGGGAUAACGUAGGGAAACUUACGCUACUACCGCAUACGACCUACGGGUGAAAGCAGGAGAUCUUCGGACCUUUCGCGAUUGAAUGAGCCGAUGUCGGAUUAGCUAGUUGGCGAGGUAAAGGCCCACCAAGGCGACGAUCCGUAGCUGGUCUGAGAGGAUGAUCAGCCACACUGGAACUGAGACACGGUCCAGACUCCUACGGGAGGCAGCAGUGGGGAAUAUUGGACAAUGGGCGCAAGCCUGAUCCAGCCAUACCGCGUGGGUGAAGAAGGCCUUCGGGUUGUAAAGCCCUUUUGUUGGGAAAGAAAAGCAGCAGGUUAAUACCCCGCUGUUCUGACGGUACCCAAAGAAUAAGCACCGGCUAACUUCGUG
rnacentral:rRNA from 1 species